UGCAUACAGCUUCAAAACACAAUUGCAGCGAAUAUGUUAAUAGCUAAGACCAGGUCUUCACAUGCAUAGAUGAUGACAACUAUGUCACAACUGUUCCGUGGCUGACAGUAACUGCACAAUGCCCUUAAUUUUAUAGAUGUUAAAAUGUGGAAAAUAAGGAGAAAAGUAUAUCUUAAAAUUGGUGAAAUAGAAUAAGUGAUGAAAAACAUACUCAUUCUUGAUCUAGAUUUGGGCUUUUCUGAUGCCAGGAAUCAAAGUACUUGAGCUACAACAACAACAACAACAACAACAAAUACAGCCCAAACAUCCAGUACAGGCCUUGUCUAUGUGGCCUGCCUAGUCAGUAGAGUCUCCAAUUAGUUUCCCGAAAAAUGACAGGAGGCUGAGGAUGCCACCUUAACAAAGAACAGGGGUUGAGCCCCCUAACCCACCUUGUAACCAAAGUCUCUGCUACUUGUGAAAGGGAUUUUCUGUGCUUUGCUAUCUACCAGAGUUUUCAGCACUCUUGCAUUUCUCUCCCGAUGGAAAAACACAUUGGCCAAAGAAGACCUGCUGGGUUAAAUAAAAUUGCUAUACUCCUCAUCUUGAUCUUUAGCAUGAAAACACUAAGGAGUUAGGGGCCAUGAAUAAAUGAACCCCUCAACAAUCUUUCAUCCAGUUUUCCCUGAUUGGCUUCAGAGACUGAAGCUCUUGAAGUUGGUAACAUCUUUCUCUUUUUUGUGUUCCUUCAUGCUUGCUCGAACUUUCCUUUCCAAGAAGUGGGAGGCUGCCUGGGUGACACUUGUCUUCCUCCCAUGAAUAAGGAAUUCAUCUGGCUCCAGAGUUCUUGGUCUUUAGAGCCCCAUCUGCCCUGGAGAGAUGACUCUCCCCAAUGUGGCUAUGGCUACUUG
rnacentral:lncRNA from 10 species